GAUGAACGCUGGCGGCGUGCCUAAUACACGCAAGUCGAGCGAACAGAUGAGGAGCUUGCUCCUCUGACGUUAGCGGCGGACGGGUGAGUAACACGUGGAUAACCUACCUAUAAGACUGGGAUAACUUCGGGAAACCGGAGCUAAUAACGGAUAAUAUAUUGAACCGCAUGGUUCAAUAGUGAAAGACGGUUUUGCUGUCACUUAUAGAUGGAUCCGCGCCGCAUUAGCUAGUUGGUAAGGUAACGGCUUACCAAGGCAACGAUGCGUAGCCGACCUGAGAGGGUGAUCGGCCACACUGGAACUGAGACACGGUCCAGACUCCUACGGGAGGCAGCAGUGGGGAAUCUUCCGCAAUGGGCGAAAGCCUGACGGAGCAACGCCGCGUGAGUGAUGAAGGUCUUCGGAUCGUAAAACUCUGUUAUUAGGGAAGAACAAAUGUGUAAGUAACUAUGCACGUCUUGACGGUACCUAAUCAGAAAGCCCCGGCUAACUACGUG
rnacentral:rRNA from 1 species